UAGACCUGAGGUCAGGGAAGACCACCCGGUGAACUUAAGCAUAUCAAUAAGCGGAGGAAAAGAACUAAC
rnacentral:rRNA from 1 species